rnacentral:rRNA from 1 species
UACGUAGGGGGCUAGCGUUGUCCGGAUUUAUUGGUCGUAAAGAGCGUGUAGGCGGCCAUACAGGUCAGCUGUGAAAACUCGAGGCUCAACCUCGAGACGUCGGUUGAAACCGUAUGGCUAGAGUCCGGAAGAGGAGAGUGGAAUUCCCGGUGUAGCGGUGAAAUGCGCAGAUAUCGGGAAGAACACCUAUGGCGAAGGCAGCUCUCUGGGACGGUACUGACGCUGAGACGCGAAAGCGUGGGGAGCAAACAGG